CCUACGUGAGGCAGCAGUGAGGAAUAUUGGUCAAUGGGCGCGAGCCUGAACCAGCCAAGUAGCGUGAAGGAUGACUGCCCUACGGGUUGUAAACUUCUUUUAUAAAGGAAUAAAGUGAGGCACGUGUGCCUUUUUGUAUGUACUUUAUGAAUAAGGAUCGGCUAACUCCGUGCCAGCAGCCGCGGUAAUACGGAGGAUCCGAGCGUUAUCCGGAUUUAUUGGGUUUAAAGGGAGCGUAGAUGGGUUGUUAAGUCAGUUGUGAAAGUUUGCGGCUCAACCGUAAAAUUGCAAUUGAUACUGGCAGUCUUGAGUACGGUUGAGGUAGGCGGAAUUCGUGGUGUAGCGGUGAAAUGCUUAGAUAUCACGAAGAACUCCGAUUGCGAAGGCAGCUUACUAAACUGCCACUGACAUUGAUGCUCGAAAGUGUGGGUAUCAAACAGGAUUAGAUACCCCAGUAGUC
rnacentral:rRNA from 1 species